rnacentral:lncRNA from 1 species
UUAGGGAUCUUCGCUGUGAUUUUUUAGUGACAUCUGAUUUUAGUUGAGGAUUUUUUGUUUGAUUAUUUUUUUUUUUGUAUAUUUAGAUUUGAUAUUGUUUUUCUAUAUUUUAGUUUUAGGAUUAGAGGGGUUUGAGAUUUUAUUUUUAUUAUUAUUUUUAUUUUUUUUUGGUUGCGUGAGGGCUACUUGGAUAUUUGAUGCAUGAGAUUUGUUGCUUUGGAUCUUUG